GGCGGGGGGAACCGGGAGGGCGGUUUCAAGGCUUCCCCCACAUACCCCCCCCCCCCCCCACACCCACCCCCGGGCGGACCCCCAGGGCCGGGAACGGCGCGGGGGAGAUCAAAGGCGGCGACGAGAGGGGAACGGGCCGGAGUCACCCACCGGCUCCGCCGUGCUGCCGGCAGGAUGACAAUCGAGUUAGGAGGGCGAGCGGCCGGCGGACGCGGCACUGCCCGUGGGGACCCUCCAGCACCGCGGCCGCUCCGCGCCCCGGCACCGCACCGACAGACCUGCGCACGCCGGGUCACACGGCCGCAGCGCACUCACGCACCCCCAGGGCCAGGGCACAAGGACAGACCGCGGGGACAGACGGCCGGAGACAGACGGCUUCACCGCAGGGGCACGGCCCUGGCACACGCGGCAGCGCGCGGGGCUGCGCGGCCGCAGCGGGGAGCGAUGCCCGGGGACACACGGACACGUGGACGGAGGGACGCAGGAUCACACCGUGAGCACGGACCUCACGCGCACGGAGGCGGCGCACACCCAGCCUCCUCCACAGCCGCGGUGCAAAGGCCGCGGUGCCGGCAGCGCUGCCCGGGGCGAGCACCGCGGUGCCGUGGGGCCGUCGGCGCAGCGGGGAUUUCUCCUCCAGCCGGCUGCCGGAGCACGGGCUGAGCUCCGCGGUCGGAUCCGGGGCUCUCCCGGGGGCACCCGCAGGAACCCACCAUGGGGAGCGGGGCUGGCCGCAUCCUGACCACCCGGGGAGCAUCCUCCCGUGGAUGUGCACGGCAGCGCCGAGCCGCAACCCGCGUUUCCCCCCCCCUCCGUGCUCUGGGAAAUGCGCUAAAACAUCCCCGUUGGAUCCCUCUCCGUCUGGGAAAGGCCAGGAAAGGGCUCCGGCCCGAUAAAUAACAUUACGGAUUAACCCAGCGCACGGAAUCGUUGCCGAACGGGAGCGCGAGGCAAAUCCCGGCGUUGGGGUAACGGUGUGCCGGGCGCCAGCAGCGCGGCGGGUUGGGGGCCGGCGCAUUGUUCGGGGAGCGCUCGGAAAUGGUUUCUUGACUGCAAAAAAAAAAAAAAAAAGCCUCAAAACACACCAAAAAAAAAAGCAGCUGUGAGGCUCUUCCUUCC